rnacentral:rRNA from 1 species
UACGUAGGGGGGCAAGCGUUGUCCGGAAUUAUUGGGCGUAAAGAGCGUGUAGGCGGUCCGGUAAGUCCGCUGUGAAAGUCGGGGGGCUCAACCCUCGAAUGCCGGUGGAUACUGUCGGACUAGAGUACGGAAGAGGCGAGUGGAAUUCCUGGUGUAGCGGUGAAAUGCGCAGAUAUCAGGAGGAACACCAAUUGCGAAGGCAGCUCGCUGGGACGCUACUGACGCUGAGACGCGAAAGCGUGGGGAGCAAACAGG